UAAAGAGGGUGCGAGCGUUAAUAGGAAUUACUGGGCGUAAAGCGCACGUAGGUGGCGACGUAAGUCGGGUGUGAAAGCGCCGGGCUCAACCUGGGAAUUGCAUUCGAGACUGCAUUGCUGGAGUACGGAAGAGGAGGGCGGAAUUCCCGGUGUAGCGGUGAAAUGCGUAGAUAUCGGGAGGAACAUCAGUGGCGAAGGCGGCCCUCUGGUCCAGUACUGACACUCAAGUGCGAAAGCGUGGGGAGCAAACAGG
rnacentral:rRNA from 1 species